rnacentral:rRNA from 1 species
GAUCAAGCUACAAAGAGCAUACAGGAGGAUGCCUUGGUACAUGGCGCCGAAGAAGGACGUGACAAGCUGCGAAAAGCUACGGGGAGUCGCAAAUAGACCGUGAUCCGUAGAUAUCCGAAUGAGGGAACUCACCAUAAGUAAUGUUAUGGUAUCAUUACAUGAAUAAAUAGUGUAAUGAAGGGAACCCGGGGAACUGAAACAUCUAAUUACCCGGAGGAAAAGAAAGUAAAACAACGAUUCCGAAAGUAGUGGCGAGCGAAAUCGGAAGAGCCCAAACCAAGAAUAGCAAUAUUUUUGGGGUGACGGACUCCAUAAUCCAUUAAAAACGAUAACCGAACAGUGUUGGAAAGCACGGCAAAAAAGGGUAAAAGCCCCGUAGGUGAAAUUGUUUAAGAGGAGGGAGUAUCCAGAGUACGGCGGGACACGAGGAAUCCUGUCGGAAUACGCGAGGACCAUCUCGUAAGGCUAAAUACGACCAUGUGACCGAUAGAGUAUAGUACCGUGAGGGAACGGUGAAAAGAACCCCGAGAGGGGAGUGAAAAAGAACCUGAAACCGUAUGCUUACAAGCAGACAAAGCACCACACGAGUGUGAUGUCGUACUUUUUGUAGAACGGGCCGGCGAGUUACGAUGUGUUGCGAGGUUAAGUGGUACAGCCACGGAGCCGAAGCGAGAGCGAGUUCUAAGUGAGCGUAAAGUAGCAUGUCGUAGACCCGAAACCUGAUGACCUAUCCAU